AUUGAACGCUGGCGGCAUGCCUUACACAUGCAAGUCGAACGGCAGCGGGGACUUCGGUCCGCCGGCGAGUGGCGAACGGGUGAGUAAUGUAUCGGAACGUACCAUUGAGUGGGGGCUAACGUAGCGAAAGUUACGCUAAUACCGCAUAUUCUCUCCGGAGGAAAGCAGGGGACCGCACGGCCUUGCGCUCUUUGAGCGGCCGAUAUCAGAUUAGCUAGUUGGUGAGGUAAAGGCGCCCCAAGGCGACGAUCUGGAGCGGGUCUGAGAGGAUGAUCCGCCACACUGGAACUGAGACACGGUCCAGACUCCUACGGGAGGCAGCAGUGGGGAAUUUUGGACAAUGGGGGCAACCCUGAUCCAGCCAUGCCGCGUGAGUGAAGAAGGCCUUCGGGUUGUAAAGCUCUUUCGGCCGGGAAAAAAUCGCAUGGGCUAAUACCCUGUGUGGAUGAUGGUACCGGAAUAAGAAGCACCGGCUAACUACGUGCCAGCAGCCGCAGUAAAAC
rnacentral:rRNA from 1 species